AAUUCCCAGCCUUAUCCUGUGCAUGUGUUCAAAUCCCUGGAAACCUGUGCGUCUCCUCUGAUGCGCGUUCAGCUCCUCCUCUCAGCUCAUGCACGCCAACUUCCAGGCCUUUCACCACUGCCAAUCAAAUCUCUCGCUCGACGCUGGUCACACGCACCACGCACGCCCAGCCGAGCUCCUGCUUCCCUCUCCCGCGGUGCCUGGCUUCCUCCAAGCUCGCCCCCAACCACAACCACGCCCUGGUCCGCGCUCCAGCCCUCCCCAUCCUCCUCUUGCUAUGGUGCCCAGCCGAGCUCUCUCCCCUUCCUGCCAUGGCCGACGCCCCUCCCUGCUGUAGCUCGAUGCCCUCCCCUGCAGCAAGCAGUGCCCUCCCCUUUCUGCAGCAAGUGGGUGCCCCCAGCCCCUCCUUUGUUCCCAUGGCCGGCCACCUCUGCUGCUUCCAUGGUGAUCUCUAAAUCCCUUUGUUGUUUUACUAGUUCUUGUUAAUACCCUGCUGAUGUGAGGUUUUAUGUGUGUUGAUGUGUGCGAUAUGGAGUAAAAUCCUUGGAGAAUUAGGUGGAGAAGAAGGUUAAGUUCAACACUCAUUAGGUGUUCGAUGAUAUGCUCGAACUGGUGGCCGUCUUCGUUCUUGCUGAAAUCGAGUCGGAGCAUGAUGUGGUUCGUUACACGUGAUGCGAAGGACAAGAGCCGAGUUGAUCCCAAAAUGAUGCUAGUGAACGAACCUAAGGAUGGAUGAUCUGAUAGAGUGCCAGAAUGGGAGAUGCUCACCAAGUGGUCGUCAAUUAACAACACUAACUUAGUGUUAUCCCAGGUUAUAAUUUUGUUCUGUUAUGGAUGCUGCUAAGUGCCGGUAGGCUCGGCCUUCUUAUAUAAGUAUAUCCCAUCUUUAGCUUCUUUAUUGAGGAUUGUCACUUAAGCUAGCAUGUAUUUGAAAACCUAUAAAUAUUUUAUACAUUUUAAAUUGUAAUUUUUUUUGAAUCACUUUCUUUUGUAAUCACUCCGAUGAUAUAUAUUGUAAUCUUGUUAUAACUUGUAAAUGUUGUAACUUGUAACCAUUUUGUAAUAAAGAAUUUCCGCUGCAAAAAAAAAAAAAAAA
rnacentral:lncRNA from 1 species